GACCCCGCGAAAGUAUAUUUAUUGACUACAGAUGGAAGCACAUUGCUAAGGAAUGGAAAGCUGCAAGAUAGAACAUGCCCUUCACCUGCGUGGUUGCAUAGAAACCAGUCGUUUGUCCAAAUCUUAAAGAACUCAAGUGGAAAGCAUACUUUAAAAUGUAAAGGUUAGAAUCACAAACUACAGUUUGAAUUGAAAUGACUGAAAGAUUGUUUCAAGAAUAUAAGAAUUCUAUCUAAAAGAAGUGAAUGAAAGGUAUAUUCUGGCUGGAGUGCAAUGGCGCGAUCUCAGCUCACCGCAACCUCCACCUCCCGGCUUCAGCAGUGUAUGUAUGAGGAAGUGCCCACAGGAGUGUGCCUCUGGGAUGAAGCAAAGCAACAGAGAUCCAAGCAGGAGAGGCUGCAACAGGCUGGAGAUAUGCAGAGUCUUCAUGGGGGAGUGUUCUUCCAGCUCCCUGCCCCACAUCCACCCACUGUCCUCAGACCUCAGCUGGGGCUGCACCCCAACCCUGAGUGUGACAGAGAGAAGAUGAGUGUUAGAGAUCAUGAUCCUGAAGUGCUGACGAGAAAUUCAGGAAGCCUGCAAGCCUAGAGGUCAGCUCAGUGGCCACCUUCUGAAGCCCAGGGCACCAUUGGAAGCUGCCUAGUUUGAGGCACGGAGGGAAGAGGAAAACACUGAGAACAACAUCCCUCUUCCUGAGGAAUGCAUACAAGGGUGCUUGGGGGUAGGUUGGGGAUCCC
rnacentral:sRNA from 1 species